rnacentral:rRNA from 1 species
GAUGAACGCUGGCGGCGUGCCUAAUACAUGCAAGUCGAGCGAACAGACGAGGAGCUUGCUCCUCUGACGUUAGCGGCGGACGGGUGAGUAACACGUGGAUAACCUACCUAUAAGACUGGGAUAACUUCGGGAAACCGGAGCUAAUACCGGAUAAUAUAUUGAACCGCAUGGUUCAAUAGUGAAAGACGGUUUUGCUGUCACUUAUAGAUGGAUCCGCGCCGCAUUAGCUAGUUGGUAAGGUAACGGCUUACCAAGGCAACGAUGCGUAGCCGACCUGAGAGGGUGAUCGGCCACACUGGAACUGAGACACGGUCCAGACUCCUACGGGAGGCAGCAGUAGGGAAUCUUCCGCAAUGGGCGAAAGCCUGACGGAGCAACGCCGCGUGAGUGAUGAAGGUCUUCGGAUCGUAAAACUCUGUUAUUAGGGAAGAACAAAUGUGUAAGUAACUAUGCACGUCUUUACGGUACCUAAUCAGAAAGCCACGGCUAACUACGUG